rnacentral:tRNA from 1 species
GGGGAAGUAGCUCAGUCGGGAGAGCGUCGCGUUCGCAAUGCGAAGGUCAGGGGUUCGAGCCCCCUCUUCUCCACCA